rnacentral:rRNA from 1 species
GUCAAAAAAAAGAAGGCUCACGACGGAGACCUAGGCUCUCAGAGACGAUGAAGGGCGCGAUACCGGCGAUACAGCUUUGGGGAGUAGGAAGAAUACAUGGAUCCAAAGAUUCCCGAAUAGGGCAACCUCUAUAAGAACUAUCUAUGAAUUCAUAAAUAGAUUAGAGGCAACCUGGUGAACUGAAACAUCUCAGUAGCCAGAGGAAAAGAAAGCAAAAGCGAUUCCCGUAGUAGCGGCGAGCGAACGGGGAACAGCCUAAACCAAUUUUAUUGGGGUUGUGGGAAGACGUUUUCUUAAGAAUCUCUAAAAAGGCGAAGCAGCUGAAUCCUGCACCAUAGAUGGUGAAAGUCCAGUAGUUAUAAAAAUAUGAUUCUUAAAAGAUUUUAUUUCUUCUCGAAUCGAAUCAAUCAUUCGAUUUAAGAACAAGAAUGUCUAUCCCGAGUAGCAUGGGGCACGUGGAAUCCCGUGUGAAUCUGCGAGGACCACCUCGUAAGGCUAAAUACUCCUGAGAGACCGAUAGCGAAAUAGUACAGCGAUGGAAAGGUGAAAAGAACCCCCGUAGGGGAGUGAAAUAGAACAUGAAAUCGUGAGCUGACAAGCAGUGGGAGGAUUAUUUUGAGAAUCUGACCGCGUGCCUGUUGAAGAAUGAGCCGGCGACUUAUAGGAAGUGGCGGGUUAAAGAGUAAGAUCUGGAGCCUAAGCGAAAGCGAGUCUGAAUAGGGCUAAAAUAAAGUCACUUCUUAUGGACCCGAACCUGGAUGAUCUAACCAUGAGCAAGCUGAAGCUUAGGUAACACUUAGUGGAGGGCUGAACGGACCGAUGUUGAAAAAUCGGCCGAUGACUUGUGGUUAGCGGAGAAAUUCCAAUCGAAUUCAGAGCUAGCUGGUUCUCCCCGAAAUGCGUUGAGGCGCAGCGGCAAUGAUGGGCAAUCUAAGGGUAGAGCGACUGUUUCGGUGCGGGCUGCGAAAGCGGUACCAAGUCGUGGCAAACUCCGAAUAUUAGAUGUGCUUUCCAGCUGCCAGUGAGACACACGGCGAUAAGGUUGCGUGUCAAGAGGGAAACAGCCCAGAUCAUCAGCUAAGGCCCCUAAAUGACUCCUAAGUGGAAAAGGAUGUGAGAAUGCUGAAACAACCAGGAAAUUUGCUUAGAAGCAGCCAUUUUUUAAAGAGUGCGUAAUAGCUCACUGGUAAAGCGUUCUUGCGCCGACAAUGGCCGGGACUAAGGAGUCUGCCGAAGCUAUGAGAUUUUUUUUCAUACUUUUCUGUUUGUAAAAAUUGUAAAAAUUGUAAAAAAAAAUCGGUAGGGGAGCGUUCUGCAUCGGGUGAAGCUUUAACGUAAGUUUGAGUGGACGGUGCGGAAGUGAGAAUGUCGGCUUGAGUAACGAAAACAUUGGUGAGAAUCCAAUGCUCCGAAAACCUAAGGGUUCCUCCACAAGGUUCGUCCGUGGGGGGUGAGUCAGGACCUAAGGCGAGGCCGACAGGCGUAGUCGAUGGCAAACAGGUUGAUAUUCCUGUACUUUUUUGAAGGGGAACCGAGGGACGAAGAAGGCUAAAUUGAGUCUGUGAAUGGAAUGCAGUGGAAGCGUUCAAGGUUUAACAGAUCGAAGAAAAACGAAUCUGUAGCUGAGACGUGAUCCCACUCUCCUGAACUUGUUCGGGUUGAGUGUCAAUGAUGUCAUACUUCCAAGAAAAGCUCGUACACCAGCAAUUAGGCAUAAACCUUCAAAAAACCUGUACCUGAAACCGACACAGGUAGGUUGGUAGAGAAUACUAAGGAGCGCAAGAGAACUCUCUCUAAGGAACUCGGCAAACUAACCCCGUAACUUCGGGAGAAGGGGUGCCCCCGAUUGCAUCGGGGGUCGCAGUAUCAAGGUUCAGGCAACUGUUUAUCAAAAACACAGGUCUCCGCAAAGUCGUAAGACAAAAUAUGGGGGCUGACGCCUGCCCAGUGCCGGAAGGUCAAGGAAGUUGGUUAUUCAAGUUUACUUGGAGAAGCUGACGACCGAAGCCCCGGUGAACGGCAGCUGUAACUAUGACAGUUCUAAGGUAGCGAAAUUCAUUGUCGAGUAAGUUUCGACCUGCACGAAAGGCGUAAUGAUCUGAACGCUGUCUCAGAGAGAGACUUGGUGAAAUAGACUUAUCCGUGAAGAUGCGGAUUAACAACACUUGGACAGAAAGACCCUAUGAAGCUUGACUGUAUCCUGGAAUUGGGUUCGGGCUUUUCUUGCGCAGUCUAGGUGGGAGGCAUUGAAGAUUUCUUUCCGGAGAGAUUGGAGCCAUCAGUGAGAGACCACUCUGGAAAGGCUAGAAUCCUAAGAGUGAUCCCUUAUCGGGACAUUUGACGUUUUCAGGAAGGCAGUUUUUUUGGGGCGAAAGUCCUCCUAAAAGGUAACGGAGGCGCGCAAAGGUUUCCUCAGUCUGGACGGAAAUCAGACGUUACAGAGUGUAAAGGCAAAAGGAAGCUUGACUGCAAGACCAACAAGUCGAGCAGGGGCGAAAGCCGGCCUUAGUGAUCCGACGAUACCAUGUGGAAGGGUCGUCGCUCAACGGAUAAAAGUUACUCUAGGGAUAACAGGCUGAUCUUCUCCAAGAGUUCACAUCGACGAGAAGGUUUGGCACCUCGAUGUCGGCUCAUCACAUCCUGGGGCUGUAGUAGGUCCCAAGGGUUGGGCUGUUCGCCCAUUAAAGUGGUACGUGAGCUGGGUUCAAAACGAAUCUGGAUACAGGGAUAUGCCAAUUUAAUGGUGGCAUAUAACACGCCAACUUUUCUAGUUUUUUUAACUAGAAAAGAAGACAUAGUCCUUUCUUUAGCGAAAGCUAAGGGUAAAACAUACCAAUUUAUAUUGGAUGUUUAAAGCGUAAGACAGUUUGGUCCAUAUCCGGUGUUGUCGUUAGAGUGUUGAGAGGAUCCUUAAAUAGUACGAGAGGAUUUUUAAGGUCGUGCCAAUGGUGUAUCAGUUCUCUCUCCAGAGGGAAACGCUGAGUAGCUACGCACGGUUUAGAUAACCGCUGAAAGCAUCUAAGUGGGAAGCUUUCCUCAAGAUGAGCACUCUCCAUAUGCCACAGCUAGAGAAGCUGAUUAAUAGGUAUCAGGUGAAAGGUCUGUAAGGAUUUGAGCCGAGAUAUACUAAAGGCCAAUUGAUUUUGACCA